AGUGGCGAACGGGUGAGUAAAGUAUCGGAACGUGCCCAGUCGUGGGGGAUAACGUAGCGAAAGUUACGCUAAUACCGCAUACGAUCUAUGGAUGAAAGCGGGGGAUCGCAAGACCUCGCGCGAUUGGAGCGGCCGAUAUCAGAUUAGGUAGUUGGUGGGGUAAAGGCUCACCAAGCCGACGAUCUGUAGCUGGUCUGAGAGGACGACCAGCCACACUGGGACUGAGACACGGCCCAGACUCCUACGGGAGGCAGCAGUGGGGAAUUUUGGACAAUGGGCGCAAGCCUGAUCCAGCCAUGCCGCGUGCAGGAUGAAGGCCUUCGGGUUGUAAACUGCUUUUGUACGGAACGAAAAGGUUUGGCCUAAUAAGCUGAGCUCAUGACGGUACCGUAAGAAUAAGCACCGGCUAACUACGUGCCAGCAGCCGCGGUAAUACGUAGGGUGCGAGCGUUAAUCGGAAUUACUGGGCGUAAAGCGUGCGCAGGCGGUUAUGUAAGACAGAUGUGAAAUCCCCGGGCUCAACCUGGGAACUGCAUUAGUGACUGCAUAGCUGGAGUACGGCAGAGGGGGAUGGAAUUCCGCGUGUAGCAGUGAAAUGCGUAGAUAUGCGGAGGAACACCGAUGGCGAAGGCAAUCCCCUGGGCCUGUACUGACGCUCAUGCACGAAAGCGUGGGG
rnacentral:rRNA from 1 species